CCAGCGCCCCAGCGUGGACCCUGAGCGCCGUCGGAAAGGCGUUAGCGCCCAGGGGGUCACAACCCAGCUUGCUGGAAGGAAACUUGGGGACAUCUGUAAGGAGAGGAAUAGGAAAGACCCGAGGAGAAGCAGUAAAGGAGGCUCUUACCCUGAGAGAAAAAGGAAGGCACUGGAGGAUUUUGAACAGAGAAGUGAUGUGAUCUAAGGUUUAAAAGAAUAGGUCUGACUGCUGCAUUGUGAAGAGACUGUAUGUGGGGCAAGAGAGGAAGCCAGGAGACCAUAGGAGGUGAGAAAAAGGGCGUUGCGGAUCCUUUGGAGCCAAGGACUGGAACUGCCAUGCAAGACCUCUGCCAACUGAGGGUUUCAUGAGCGCACUGCCUUGCCAAGAUCUUGGUGAAUAGUCUUUCACUGUGCAAUUGUGUCUUAGACAUUGUUUUACUUGUUAUCAUGAUUGUGCUUGGCUGGAUGCUUUUUGUUGGACUUGCAUGUUACAUGGGCACAUUUCCAGAGUUCACGCCUCCAACUCUGAAGUGGAAAGAGAAGUGGCCUGUUCAGGAGAGCAAGACACAACUGAGGAGCCUGGCUUUGGAUGAAGAACCACAACUAUGAGAACCAUGUGGAAAGGAUAUAAGUAUCCCCCAGGAGGGACCCCAGUGGAAAUAAGCAAAGAUGAUCCUGGUGAAGUCAUGCAGCUCUGAAGCUCACCUGGCCUGCUGUAGAGUUCCUGUUGUUGGUUUCGCAUAAAGUAAUUGCACAUUA